GGGGUGUCCCCUGCUGAGUUCUGUCCUCCUGGACCUGGUUAUUCCAGGGAUAACUGAUCACGGGGGGUGGGGGUGGGGGCUGCAGACUGCUACCUCCUUACACUGGGCACGUAUGAUCUCUAAUUAUAUAUCAAAUGAGGCAAGAUGGGGCUGGCGACUUGGGAAGAAGAAGAUGUUGGAUUGAUGUGGCAACCAUCCAAGUCGGCUUCUCAAGGCUGGGCUCAAACCCUGAGAUCAAGACUUGAGCUGAGAUCAAGAGUCAGAUGCUUAGCACACGGAGCCAUCCCGGUGCCCUCUGCCAAGCUUUUAUGGAACACCUACUACAUGCAGACCUCACCCUCAGUUCCCUUUGGGAGAUACAAUCAAAUCUUUGAAAUGAUGGUUGUCUGUCACUACAAAUGACCCCUUGAUGAAUGAAAGCUGUAGGGUGGUGGGAACUUCGUCCUCAGUGCUAGUGCUGAGCCUACCACAUGGUUGCCAGGGAUGCCAUGGAAGGUUGUAAAGGUUGUUCACUGCAUCAGAGCUCCUGGCUGGGGAGCGGGCGCUGACAUCUGGCCUGUUCUCUGCUCUCCAUGCACUGGGGGCAUCCAGCAAGUUGCCUUCUGCUAUUUUGCAAUGUGUGCUGUAUGGGCUGGUUGUGGCUCUGUGAUGGGUGUUCAAUAAAUAUUCAUUGACUACAUGACUGAUGGAUGUGCAGACGCUGUCUCCUUCUGUAGGGCUUCACGCAAAUUACCUUCUCAGAGCCUUAUUUUCAUCAUCUGUU